AUCUCCCUGGGGUGUUCGUCAGUGGGUUUCAGUCCCUGAGCCGAUAAUUUUCCCUACGGAAGUCGCUUCCCGACUAUUGAGCAUGCUCGGCCCGUACCGAGAAGCCUGCGGUUGGAUACAGACUUCCACCUUGGACCUCCGGGUUCAAGGGCUUCGACCUGCAACGGCACCCCGGGGUUCUU
rnacentral:other from 1 species